rnacentral:lncRNA from 1 species
CAUAGCCAUACCUUUGUGUGAUCCCUUCCUCUUGAAUGUAGGCUGAACCUAGUGAUUCACUUCUAACUAAUAGAACAUGGCAAAAGUAAUGGAAUAUCACUUCUACAAUUAGGUGUACAAAGAGAUGGCAGUUUCUUCUUGCUUAUUGUAGUGGAGGCCAGAGAGGCCUGUGUAGCAAAGAACUGAGGGAGGCCUCUGGCCAACAGGUAGCAUAUAACUGAGGCCUUCCAUCCAACAGCCUCACAAAGAACUGAAUCCUGCCAACAACCACAUGAGUGAGCUCAUAAACCAAUCCUUACCCAAUAGAGCCUUCAGAUGAGACCACAGCCCUGGCCCAUACCCUCAGUGCAACCUCAUGAGAGAUCUUGAGGCAGAGAAUUCAGCUAAGCUAGAGCCUGAUUCUGACUCAAAGAAACUAAAACCUCGAGGUCAAAGAACUUGUGUAAUACUGCAGAAAAGAGUGCAUACAUGAAAGGGAAGGACUGAGAUUGUGUCUAAGAGAAGCUACCAGAUCAGAUUUUUGAAGUCCAUGUAUGGAAGCAAAGAGUUUUCUUCGCACGGCCGUAUUUUCCUCUGUCAGUGACAGCUCUUCAGAGAACAGCUCUGAACUCUGUGUUGAUAGUGAGAAAGAAUAUUUACUUUCCCAAAUUAUUUGACCCUACCAGCUGUAUACAUUGGUGAUCCAACAUCAAAGACAAUUAACAAAUCCACUAAAGACACAAGGACACUUUUUGAAGUCAAAGAUGUGCAUAUAUUUUGUGUAACCAAGAUCCUCUACCUUUAAUUAAUUAAAGCUAUUGGUGGCUAUGAAUGGGUUUUUU